CCUACGGGGAGCAGCAGUGGGGAAUAUUGCGCAAUGGGCGAAAGCCUGACGCAGCGACGCCGCGUGAGGGAUGAAGGUCUUCUGAUCGUAAACCUCUGUCAGCAGGGAAGAACGGUCACUGUGCUAAUCAGCAGUGAAUUGACGGUACCUGCAAAGGAAGCACCGGCUAACUCCGUGCCAGCAGCCGCGGUAAUACGGAGGGUGCGAGCGUUAAUCGGAAUUACUGGGCGUAAAGCGCUCGUAGGCGGUAUGUCAAGUCAAGGGUGAAAUCCCCGCGCUCAACGUGGGAACUGCCUUUGAAACUGGCAAACUGGAGUGUGUGAGAGGAUAGUGGAAUUCCAGGUGUAGGAGUGAAAUCCGUAGAUAUCUGGAGGAACAUCAGUGGCGAAGGCGACUAUCUGGAACAUAACUGACGCUGAGGAGCGAAAGCGUGGGUAGCAAACAGGAUUAGAUACCCUGGUAGUC
rnacentral:rRNA from 1 species